GAUUAUGGCUCAGGAUGAACGCUAGCGGCAGGCUUAACACAUGCAAGUCGAGGGGCAGCGUGGAGUAGCAAUACUCUGACGGCGACCGGCGAAAGGGUGAGUAACGCGUGAGCAACGUGCCCGGUAUUGGGGGAUAGUCGAUGGAAACGUCGCGUAAUACCCCAUAACAACGAGGAUCGCAUGGUCCAUAGUUUGAAAGAUUCAUUGAUACCGGAUCGGCUCGCGUACCAUUAGCUAGAUGGCGGGUAACGGCCCACCAUGGCGACGAUGGUUAGGGGUCUGAGAGGAAGGUCCCCCACAUUGGAACUGAGACACGGUCCAGACUCCUACGGGAGGCAGCAGUGAGGAAUAUUGGUCAAUGGCCGAGAGGCUGAACCAGCCAUGCCGCCGUGCGGGAGGACGGCCCUAUGGGUUGUAAACCGCUUUUGUAGGGGAGCAAUAAGGUCCACGUGUGGGCCGAUGAGAGUACCCUGCGAAUAAGCAUCGGCUAACUCCGUGCCAGCCGCUGC
rnacentral:rRNA from 1 species